rnacentral:misc_RNA from 1 species
UUGACCAAGAGGACAAGGGAAGAAU